rnacentral:RNase_P_RNA from 1 species
GAAGUCCGCCAGGCAGCCGCGGCACCUUCGGGUGUCGAGGAAAGUCCGGGCCCCAUAGAGCAGGAUGCCGGCUAACGGCCGGGCGCCGCGAGGCGACAGACAGUGCAACAGAAACAUACCGCUAACGCUCGAAAGGGCGCAGUAAGGGUGAAAUCGUGCGGUAAGAGCGCACGGUCGCACUGGUAACAGUUGCGACGGGUAAACCUCAUCCGGGGCAAGGCCAAAUAGGGGAGCAAUGACGUGGCUCGCGUCGCUCCCGGGUAGGCUGCAAGAGGCCGUCGGCAACGACGGUCCCAGAGGAAUGGCUGCCCACGACAGAACCCGGCUUAUCGGCGGACUUCCACC